rnacentral:misc_RNA from 1 species
UUUCCGUAGGUGAACCAGCGGAAGGAUCAUUCACAAUAAGUGUAUUAUGACACUUUUUCAAUCAUUCUCCACCUUGUGUCCAAUGUUGUCUUGUAACGCGAACGCUAGUCAUGUGCGCUACAGGAUGUACACAUCAACUCUUAUUUUUAACAUCUUUGUCUGAAAACCUGUAUGAAUACUAAAUUCAAAUACAACUUUCAACAACGGAUCUCUUGGCUCUG